CAUCGAUUUGCCCCAUUCGUCUUUUCCUUUGAUUUUGAAGUGGAAAUCACGUUAAAACUAAAUGUUUUGAAUUUGAAAGUCGAGUGUUGCAAAGUGAUUCCAAAUUGAUUAGGCAAGAUGGCGACAAGUAAAAAGUCGUGAUUGGAGCUCUUUGUUGAAAAAUUAGUUUAGUUUGUAUUUUUAUAAGAAAUCCAAGUUUUGAUCACGGUAAGUAAGUAUUAGUCAUUUAUCAAGUAAGGCUAGCUAUUUUUUUUAAUUUUUUUUCAGAAAAAUCUAGUUUCGGGGCCACAUUUUGAAAAAGUUCCUGCGGACCGGACUGGGAUGCGGUUUUGUGGUGUUCGUGGCCUUUGAAAGUCCCAAACUGCGCAACAAAGAAAUUUCGCGGAAAAUACGUCAAGCCCCCAGUGGCCAGUGACAGGAGAACGACAAAGAACGCCGGACCGCCGGACUCCAAACGGCGGCGUAUCGUCCACGGACCGUUCGUCAUGAAGAACAACAAAUGGCUUCAACCGCCAAUCCGAUUCAUUUUUAAGGUCAAAAUCAACGAAACUGGCCCGGAGUCCCGGACCAUGGAGGAGCUGUACAACUUACUGAACGAGCGCCUCGCCGGGUAGACCAUCACGAUGGCCGAGAACGGCAACGGAAGAUACAACGUUGGAUUUUUGAAUUUUAGUUGUGUGAGUCGGAUCCAGUGGUUUAUGUGUAAUAUUUUAGGAGAAACAAGUGUGAAAAAUAAAUACAUUUAAAAGA